ensembl:snRNA U6 U6 spliceosomal RNA
GCUUGUUCCAGCAACGCACUUACGAAAAUUGGAACAAAACAGAAUAUUAAACGGCCCCCAUGCAAAGAUGACAUACAAAUUCGUGAACCGUUCCACAUUUUU